CCCAGGUGUUUGUCUCAACAGCUCCAUAAAACCGAAACUCUGGAUUUUUAGCACGCCCCCCUAGUUUGCCACACUUCUUCAUCUCUGAACUCCUGAACUCCUGGAUGGCUCAGCCUCUGCACAACUCAUUCUGGUCUUUCCUCACGUUUCUUCCCACCUCAUGUGCUGCUGCCUGCUUCCUGUGUGCCUGACUCGGCUCCCGAAGGACCAAAGAGGAUACUCCCCACACUUCGUCCUGGACACCUUGGAUGAAGUAAGGCCCCUUGAGAACACUCGGGGAAAUGUGGACCACACGUGUCAUCUCAGGGGCAUGAGGCAAAGGAUAUUUUGGUGGUGGUGAUGAUCUAUUUAAAAAAAAAAAAACGUAUUUCAUAUUUUGCUUCUUAGUAUUUUAGUGUUUUCUGUGGCAAUUAUGUAUGACAUAUGUGGGCUGGUCCUCAAGAUUAAUGCUCAGAAAAGAGCAAAUUGUCUUAGUCAUCUUAAGAAGGCAUUGGGGAAGAUGAUUUGUGCCCCACCUUUAUUCUCGUGAAUUUAUUGUGUCCCACAGACAUGGUCACAGGCAACUCUCCCUGAUAGAGAAAAUUUCCCAUGCCCCCCCCCAACUUAUCAACACAAGUGAUUCACCCAACCUAAGACCCUACCUAGCCCUCCCUAGCUAAAGAAGCCUUUCGAGAUGCAAACUGGGCCAUCUGCCCAAGACGUGUGAGGAGCACAGCGGCGGUUCUCGGGCGCCAGUCCACUUGUCCUGCGCCAGUGUGUGUCACUCUGUCUUGUUUCAUCUCCCAGCCCAAGGGCUUCGUGCCAUCCACUCGCCUACCCUGAUGACAGAGAAGAGCCAGCCCGUGUUCCAGAACCAUCCCAUUCCCAUCCCACCAGGUCCGAGGCAGCUGUGCUUCCCCGUGGAUCCCGCACAGAGUUCUUCUCUCACACUCGCUCCCCAGACACCCACCAGGAGGCAUUGUUCAAGUGUUCUCUGAAUUCUGCACUUCAUUCUCGUCACUUACAUAACCAAACCCAAGUUUAAAAACAUACACACGCAUUCAGGAAAGAGAUGGCUGAAUCUGAUUUAAAAAAAACUGGCUUCACACGACCACAGUUGUUGGGGAACUGAGCCUCCCUGGGCUACAUUUCUGACUUGGCAGCGCGCUAGCAUAUCUAAUUUUCCACCUGCAGAAGCCUGCGGCCAACCCUGCGCACACAGCUACCUGCAGCGGGGAGAAGCAGCCAAACAGAAGGGGUGAGCGGGGCGGCUGGCUGGGGUCACAGGGAGGCUCUGCAGGGCGAUGGGGCAGGCAAGGGGCUCUGCUCUCCUUCCCUACAGCAGCAGCACUCACUCCCUGACGCUACAGCUUCCUGCUCCAGGACAAAAACACGUGCGGAUAACAGCAAUCGCGUUGCUGAGGACCAGAAGGAGAAGCUGCAGACUCCAGCCCCCGAGUGAAUUCUGACCUACAGACCUGUUUUGUCUAGGUCUCUUUGUGAUUUUCACGUGUGCAAAUUAACUGUCAAUUUUCGACAUUUUGGACAAUUCUGGAACUGUCUGGUCUGUCUUCCCGCUACUACCCCUGCAAAAUCAGACAAUCAGAUAACUCCGGACCUUGGUGGCCACCACAAGCCGGUACAAAGAGACACAAUGAAAAGGGUAUACGAGUUUGAGCUCUCACAGCAAGCAUGCCCUGGAACUCCAAUCUUACCAAAUGGCGAUGUGGUUUCAGGCAAGUUACUUCGCCUACUCAUUCAGAAACUUCUGUUGUCUAAUUAUCUCUUGUUUUUAAGCUGGGUGUGUGUGUGUGUGUGUGUGUGUGUGUGUGUGUGUGUGUGCGUGUGGAAGUCCACAGAGGACCACAGAGGACAACUUGUGGGACUCAGACCUCUCCAGACAAAAUGUGAGCACAUGUAAAAGUUAGAAGGUGACGAUAAGACCUUCCUUGGCACCUCAGUAACACUGAAGAGACACCUCAUCUAACCUACAGCCCUGAUGUGUCACCCUCCCUGAUCCAUCCCAGGCACAGCCUGGAGAGAGAGAAAGAGAGAGAGAGAGAGAGAGAGAGAGAGAGAGAGAGAGAGAGAGGAGAUCUCCCUCCCCAUGACAACGAUGGCUAAGGCAACUGCCUCUUUUCUGAGCACUCAUCUGGAGGGGCUGAUGACCAUCGGCCCAAAGGGCUCACUUGGUAUGUCCCUUUGUCGUGCCCAGAAGUCUCAGGCCCUUCCAAAGUCUCCCCAGAAGGUCUUUUCUCAAAACCUAUCCCAACACUGCUUGUGGGAGCUCGUGACAAAAUGGCUCUUCCAGUGAUGGGAAGUGACAACCCCAAAUCACAUAAAUAUUUGGAGUCUGCCUUUGGAAAACUGGCAAAAAAAAAAAAAAAAAAAAGAGCUCGCUCAGGCAGACACCGCUAUACGUUCCCUAACUGCUUCAUUACCCCCUCAGCAAUCCACAAGAUGAAACUUCCCACACCCCUUUGCCUCUAAGUGAGACCAUCUGACUGAUUAAAAGAAUGUGAAUGGAAGCAAUAUAAGCUGCUUCCAAGCAAGGCCAUAAAACACCCUGAACAGCAUUACCCUGUCUUCCCCUUGAACUUCUCAUCCUGUCAUGCAGAGACCAUGUGUCAAAAUGGUGGUUUCCCAAGAUAGAGGGGACCUGGGAUCCUGAGUGACUGCUGGAGCAUGAGCCACACCCCCAGAAAUGCCUAGACCAAGUGUACUACACUGUGAUAACAGGAAACAGCAGGAUUAGUCUCCCAUUCUAAUGCCGAUACAUUUGGGAUUAUUUGUUCCUGCAGCAGAGCUUAGUCUAUGCUGACUAAUAGACCUGGCAGGACGCCAACAGAGCAAAGAUGGGCUGAAGACUUGGGUAUCCAUGAUUUUCCUUCCUCUCUAGCUCAUGAUAAAAAUUUGAAAAAGUUUUUCCCCCAUCUUAGAAAAAAAAAAAAGAUUAAAUGAUUGAGCCGCCAAGGUCACAAUAUAUAACAAUUAAUUGGCUUUGGACUCCACUAUUCUCUUCAACAAGAUUUUAUCUUUCAAAGACUAUAUAACUCCAGUCAACAGAAGUACCAAUUCUGCAGCCAGCUAUAUGGGGACCUAAGUAAAUUUCUGCUAACAGGGUAAUUAUUAUGGAAGAGACAAUGUGUACUGACUGACUUUCCAACUUAGGAAGUCAAUAAGGUUGUCCCAUUUUAUGAGUAAACAAGUGGGGGUGCAGGGAUCUGAGAGCACUUGUCUAGGGUCACAAGCAGGCAAGUAAUAUAGCAGCAUUGAUAUCCAGGUGGUCAGGGUACCAGAUGCCUAAAAACUAAGCCACUGAAGCAUGAAGUCCUGAAGGGUUACACACGAACUAAGAGUCUGUUCAGGAAAUUUUAGUAAUAUCCCAUCAUUUUAGCUGAACUAAUAAAUUCCACCCCCUCAGGAUCAGGACCAUACUUUGGUUAUACCUCAAUCCCCAAGGAUCAGCACAACAUCUGGCACAUAAAAGGAUAUACAACACACAAACAAACAGCAUCAAAAGUGUGCUGAAUGGUGGAGUCACCUGAACUUGAGCUCUUACAUAUAACUGUUUUUCUAAUGUUUUAAAGAUUUGUUUUUAUUAUUUUUUACUAAUGUGUAUAUGAAAGAGAGUGGAUGCCAUAUAUGUGCAGGUGCCCGGGGGUCAGAAGAGGGUGCCAGAUGCCCUGGACCUGGAGUUACAGGUGGUUAUGAGUCACUCAAGCAUGGGUGCUGAGAACUGAACAGGUCCUCUGGAAGAACAGCAAGUGCUCUUAGCAGCUAAGCCAUCUCUCCUAGCCCUGAUACUAACCAUUUUAAUUGAGUUAUACUUGAAGAUGUCUUGAAAUGCAUUGUGUUCAUUAUCCAAGUUGAAUACUUUCGUAAGUUAACAAGGAUAUCACGAGUUAGGUAAGUAAAUAUUGGGACUAUCUAAUGCAAAUCACUAAAAUCAGCCUACUAGCUAGAGCCACAAAUACUCAUGGUACCACAGAGUGUCAAAGGAAUUACUCAUAAGGAGCAUGUUCAUUAUGUCUUUGUUUUGUGGUGAUUGUUUGAUUUUUGAGACAGGGUCCUUUUAUGUCACCCAGGUGGUCUUUGAACAGACCAUGUAGAUUAGGCUGGCCUCAAACUUGUGGUCAUCCUCCUGCCUCAGCCUCCUUAAUGCUGGAAUUACAAGUGUGCAUCACCACUUGGUCCACCUGGGCCUCUGACCAUUUCCAAGUCUGCGGCUAUUUGUGAGACAUGUUAUGGUUGUACUCUGGAAUGGGGCAAACCUUCCUAACCAGCCACACAGCACACAUGUUAUGAACCUGUAGCAUAGGUGCACCGAUCACUUUAAGAAAAGAGGACAGGACAGCCCGAGGAACGCAAUGAUUGCUGCAAGAAUAUAAACAUGGGUUGCACUGGAACUGGCUACAUGCUUUGUAUAAACACUAAUAAAGUGAGUUCAGGCUGAGCUGUGACUUUAAAGGAAAUUCUUCCCCAUAAACAUGUCCUGCCAUGCCCUAAUAACUCCUUAAUUUGAUGCACAUUUAGGAAGGAUGAUGCUAAGUAAUCACAGAAUAACGUUAAGGUCUGUUGCGAAGGGGGCGGGGUGAGUGAUGCAACUUGGAGCUAACACCAUCCACCAGAACGCUGGCUUCUUUUCUUGUUUCACACAUGGAGGGAAUUUGCCAAGUGACAUGCAGGAAAUCAGAGGCAGGUCUCUGAAGGUUCAGUACAAGGAAAUUCUGGGUGUCAUUUGAUGGCACUACGUGAGUCUCCUGGCUGGUCCAUUUCUAGUCAGUCUUCUCUAUCUGGAGAUGGUAAAGAUGGUUCCCAUUUGCAUGUGUGUCUCUCUACUUUCUAGAAUAGAGCUCUUGCUUUUCGAUGACACCCAAAGCUCCUUGAGAAAAGAGAAUGCUUGCCACUUACAGAGGCAUCCACAAGCUAGGCACAGCUCUGCAUCCGUGUACGGAGGGACGGUGGCAUGAAGUCAGGAAGAAGUAGAUAAGUGUGGAGCUUAGAGGCUUACAGCCCAUCUUAUAACAUGCUAAUUGUGUGGUUUGGGAAAACCAUCCUUGUUGUCUACAAAAUGGCUUAGUAGCCCUUGCCGAUCCUCAAAGGUCUUGUGAGAAAACCAAAUGAGAUCAUGUGGGGUUGGGGGGGGAGAAUUUGAUAAAUUUUAAAAGGCUUGAAUAAAUUCAGGAACCACUACUGCUGAGAAAGUACAAAAAUGAUGGCUAAUGAUAGUUUUUCUCUGUAUUGUUUUCAUAAUGUAUCAAGUUCUAUUCAUUUCCUAAGUCCUCCUAACAAUCCCAUAACAAUCUGAUCCUAUUCUGCCAUUCUGUGGGCAAGUAAGGUCCAGAGAGGUUAAGGCACUCGCCCCAGUUCAGACACAUCGGGAAGCACUGUCCACAGAGUAAUGGUUCUAAAGAACAGCUCUCUGCCUCGGCUCCUGCUCUCUGCCACUAAGUUCUCAGGAAACUAAAGACGUCAGUUUAUUAGCCUGUGAGCAUGAGGACAAGGACUGCAUGGGGGUCCCUUCCAGGUCUCCAGCAACCAGUGAAGGACGAGGAAGGUAAGAUUUUUAAUCAGGUGAUGGCAGUUGGUUCCCCUUCCUAACCACCUGCUUGUGGACUAACCUGCCAGCUGUGUACAGCCACAUUUAACCAUGCUAACUCCUCUCCAAGUCCACAGGCCCCGUUCUUCAAUCCUCCAUGGUUCUCCACCUUCUGCGAGAUAAAGGGCCUCGGUCCAAUACUCAACUGUCUAGAAACGUAACCCAAAUGGCUCAUCCAACAGGUAGGUCCUCUGCGGCCACGAGGCUCAUCUCAGACACCACGCCUUUGCCCAGACGACUCUCCCAGCUGCAGCGUCCUCUCCUCUAGAGCAAAAUGAACUGAAGACGUCAAGAAGCUGGGCUGAGGAAAGGCGACCUCCUUCAGUAGACUGAAGAGCAGGAAAGGAGGAGAAUGUCUUUACAGUGGGACCGUGGGUCCAGGGCAGGCCCACCAAGCCUGCUGAGGCGGGAGUCACGCUUUGCCAUCUGGCACUGAUAAAAUGCGAAGGGACAGGAACAAGACAUGGAGGGAGAAGGGCCCGUCUGAUUGUCCAACCCAUCCUUCAUGUCCAGACUCAGGGAAGGCAAGUCUCCUUUCAUCAUCCAUGAAACCAUAUCUUGCUUAUUAUGACAAUUUAAAAAACAUCCCUGAUUAUUCCUCGGGGAAUCCAAUUUGUUUCCUUUGUAAAGAGGAAACAAUUCUCUUCUCAGUUUGGGAGGUGGGGACAUUCCAUUUAUCUUGAGGGGGGAAGAAAUCUGUUUCCCAUUAUGAAUCACGUUCUAUUCAUAGGUCUAUUUGUGAAGAAUAAAUCUCUACAAUUCACGUAGAAA